GACGAACGCUGGCGGCGUGCUUAACACAUGCAAGUCGAACGGAAAGGCCCUGCUUUUGUGGGGUGCUCGAGUGGCGAACGGGUGAGUAACACGUGAGUAACCUGCCCUUGACUUUGGGAUAACUUCAGGAAACUGGGGCUAAUACCGGAUAGGAGCUCCUGCUGCAUGGUGGGGGUUGGAAAGUUUCGGCGGUUGGGGAUGGACUCGCGGCUUAUCAGCUUGUUGGUGGGGUAGUGGCUUACCAAGGCUUUGACGGGUAGCCGGCCUGAGAGGGUGACCGGCCACAUUGGGACUGAGAUACGGCCCAGACUCCUACGGGAGGCAGCAGUGGGGAAUAUUGCACAAUGGGCGGAAGCCUGAUGCAGCAACGCCGCGUGCGGGAUGACGGCCUUCGGGUUGUAAACCGCUUUCGCCUGUGACGAAGCGUGAGUGACGGUAAUGGGUAAAGAAGCACCGGCUAACUACGUGCCAGCAGCCGCGGUGAUACGUAGGGUGCGAGCGUUGUCCGGAUUUAUUGGGCGUAAAGGGCUCGUAGGUGGUUGAUCGCGUCGGAAGUGUAAUCUUGGGGCUUAACCCUGAGCGUGCUUUCGAUACGGGUUGACUUGAGGAAGGUAGGGGAGAAUGGAAUUCCUGGUGGAGCGGUGGAAUGCGCAGAUAUCAGGAGGAACACCAGUGGCGAAGGCGGUUCUCUGGGCCUUUCCUGACGCUGAGGAGCGAAAGCGUGGGGAGCGAACAGGCUUAGAUACCCUGGUAGUCCACGCUGUAAACGGUGGGUACUAGGUGUGGGGUCCAUUCCACGGGUUCCGUGCCGUAGCUAACGCUUUAAGUACCCCGCCUGGGGAGUACGGCCGCAAGGCUAAAACUCAAAGGAAUUGACGGGGCCCCGCACAAGCGGCGGAGCAUGCGGAUUAAUUCGAUGCAACGCGUAGAACCUUACCUGGGUUUGACAUGGAUCGGGAGUGCUCAGAGAUGGGUGUGCCUCUUUUGGGGUCGGUUCACAGGUGGUGCAUGGCUGUCGUCAGCUCGUGUCGUGAGAUGUUGGGUUAAGUCCCGCAACGAGCGCAACCCUUGUUCACUGUUGCCAGCACGUUAUGGUGGGGACUCAGUGGAGACCGCCGGGGUCAACUCGGAGGAAGGUGGGGAUGACGUCAAGUCAUCAUGCCCCUUAUGUCCAGGGCUUCACGCAUGCUACAAUGGCUGGUACAGAGAGUGGCGAGCCUGUGAGGGUGAGCGAAUCUCGGAAAGCCGGUCUCAGUUCGGAUUGGGGUCUGCAACUCGACCUCAUGAAGUCGGAGUCACUAGUAAUCGCAGAUCAGCAACGCUGCGGUGAAUACGUUCCCGGG
rnacentral:rRNA from 1 species